AUCUGCCCGAUAUAGGGGGAUAACCACUGGUAAACGGUGGCUAAUACCGUAUAACGUCGGAACACCAAAGAGGGGGACCUUCUGGCCUCUCACUAUCGGAUGAACCCAGAUGGGAUUAGCUUGUAGGCGGGGUAAUGGCCCACCUAGGCGACUAUCCCUAUCUGGUCUGAGAGGAUGACCAGCCACACUGGAACUGAGACACGGUCCAGACUCCUACGGGAGGCACAGUGGGGAAUAUUGCACAAUGGGCGGAGGCCUGAUGCACCAUGCCGCGUGUAUUAAGAAGGGCUUCUGUUUGUAAAUUACUU
rnacentral:rRNA from 1 species